GACUGCUUGUUUGGUGAUGUGAUCGCCCUGACUUGUGUGUCUGGGUGGGAGAAUGAUACUGGGAUUUGGAAGUGUUCUUGGUGCUUCGGUGUGCAAGCAGGGCUCAGAGGUCCUCAAGUAUGCAACUGUUAGAUUGCUUCCCUUUGAUUUUGUCACAGUUAUUGAGAGCCUAGCACUUUCAUAGCAAUGACUACAUUUCUGACUAUAUACUUAAUGUAUUUAAUUACAGUGAUUUUCUAAAUCAAUUUCCUAAGAAAAUCAAUUUAAUUAAAUAAAUUAAAUGUGUAUUUAGACAGUCAGUCAUUGCUAUUAAAAGAGGUAUUGUAAUUUAGCAUCUUAUUCCAUUUUUAAUGGUCCCUUGGCUUUGGAAUUUUUCCAAAACGGGACUUUUAUAGUUAAAUUUAAAAACCUGACAGUUCUUUUUUUUUUUUUUUUUUUUUUUGCUGGGGAUAAUUAUAUAAAAAUAUACAUAUAAGGCUAAAUAUCUUAAGAAAUCUUAUAUUUAUUAAUGUUGUGUAUGUCAGGUUUCCUACUUUAAACCAGAUAUUUGUUGAAAUGAUGCAUUUUGUUUAAUUUGGGGAAUAAACAUUCACAUAUGAAACUGCUUUGGUUUUGAAAGCUGCGUCAUGUUAAGUAAUAUAUUUUUCUUGAAAAAGAAAAUCGAGAGUAGCAAAAGUUCAAAAUCUAUUAGGGACUGAAUAGUGUUAAUUCUGUAUUACCUAAAGGUGGGUAAAGAGCUCGUAUUCACUUUUGUAAUUCAUGCCUGUAAUUAUGUUUCUUCCAAAGUUUUAUAUGAAGUUUAUCAAAAUGUAAUUUUUUUCAGAAAAAUAUCAGUUUCAGUGUUAGGUAGCCAAAAGGACAGAUGAAUGAAAAUGAACAAUUGUAUACAUGAUAUAAAAAUAUGUGCAAAUAUGCAAGAUUCAUGCCAUUUUUCAUGAGAAGUCUAUCUUGUGUGUCUCUCGUAUGGUCACUGAACUUUUGUGUAUCCUGAUGUUAUAAAUGAUGCAGCCUUGAUUUCUAGGAAAUGUUUAAUUAGCAGACGAUUUAUACUCAUUGGUAUUUGGCCAUCAUCACUGUAUAUAAUGACAAUUUGGAGAUAGAAUUGUAGUGUUUCAUUUGAGAAAGAAUUUUAUUUGUGAAAAGUUCAAAACCAGAAUGAUAUGAUGUUCAAACAGCUUUCGCAGAGAGUCGGGGGAGGCAGAGUAAACACUUUGUUUUGCCAUAUUCCCUAAAAUUUAUGCAUUGUUUGCUCUUUAAAUGGACAUUUUACAUUUGAAAGGACUUGUUUUUUCCUUUGAAGAGAACAGGUUGAAUUUUAAGGCUUCACGUUUUUGUCCCCUCAUUUUCCUUCCCUGUCCCAACAACCUAUUGGUCAUACGUUACUCCCCCCAUCUUUCUUCCUAUUCAUUCUUUUUUUAAAUUAAAAAAAAUAUUUCUGCUUUUUAAAAUGAGAGAUAGAGAUCUAUAUUCCACUAUGAUUACAUAGAGUAACAUUUCUUUCUUUGGAUUGUUUUUGGAAAACUUAAAAAAAAAAAACAAAACUAAUUCCACACAAAAAAGUUAUAUGAUAAAUCGUAAACUAUCACAGAAAUUUAUUUUGAAAAGAACUAAACAUUUCUACUUGAAACAUCCACGGGACAGCUAACAUAAGGAUUGCAGUCAAUUCAAAGGUAAGCUCUUUCAUUUAUAUUCAAAUUAAGUCAAUAUUUGUUUUUAAUAAGAAGAACUGAUCAUUUCACCAACCUUUAUCAUUAGCAGGAAUAUACAUUUUAUUCAAUACCAGAAGGUGUUUGCAGAUCCAUUCCUAAUUUUGCAAAAACCCUUAUGAAACAGGUAAUGGAGAAAUAUGUGGAGGGGGAAGGGAAAAAAAAACCCCAGAUGAUAAAAUCCUGUAUUUUACAGAUUGACUGAAAUAAUUUUAUUUUACCCCUUGGGACAUACCUACAAUGAGCACAUACUGGACGUUAAAGAACUGGCAAUCUUCCAUGUAUAUUUGUAGAGUCCCCAGAUGCAACUGUCAUUGAUAAUUAUGCCACCUCGUUAUAAUUUCAGUGGAUUUUUACAGAACUUCUGCGCAUAAUCUCAACAGAUUAUUUUCUUCCAGCA